GAUGAACGCUGGCGGCGUGCCUAACACAUGCAAGUCGAACGGAGAUUACGGACGGAAGUUUUCGGAUGGAAGACUGUAAUUCUUAGUGGCGGACGGGUGAGUAACGCGUGGGCAACCUGCCCUAUACAGGGGGAUAGCAGCUGGAAACGGCUGGUAAGACCGCAUAAGUCGGCGAGACCGCAUGGUUUUGCCGGGAAAUGAGCAAUCAGGUAUAGGAUGGGCCCGCGUCCGAUUAGCCAGUUGGCAGGGUAAAAGCCUACCAAAGCAACGAUCAGUAGCCGGACUGAGAGGUCGGACGGCCACAUUGGGACUGAGACACGGCCCAAACUCCUACGGGAGGCAGCAGUGGGGGAUAUUGCACAAUGGAGGAAACUCUGAUGCAGCGACGCCGCGUGAGUGAAGAAGUAUUUCGGUAUGUAAAGCUCUAUCAGCAGGGAAGAUGAUGACGGUACCUGACUAAGAAGCCCCGGCUAACUACGUG
rnacentral:rRNA from 1 species